rnacentral:rRNA from 2 species
GGAGCACGCCGCGUGAGUGAAGAAGGCUUUCGGGUCGUAAAACUCUGUUGUUGGAGAAGAAUGGUCGGCAGAGUAACUGUUGUCGGCGUGACGGUAUCCAACCAGAAAGCCACGGCUAACUACGUGCCAGCAGCCGCGGUAAUACGUAGGUGGCAAGCGUUAUCCGGAUUUAUUGGGCGUAAAGCGAGCGCAGGCGGUUUUUUAAGUCUGAUGUGAAAGCCCUCGGCUUAACCGAGGAAGCGCAUCGGAAACUGGGAAACUUGAGUGCAGAAGAGGACAGUGGAACUCCAUGUGUAGCGGUGAAAUGCGUAGAUAUAUGGAAGAACACCAGUGGCGAAGGCGGCUGUCUGGUCUGUAACUGACGCUGAGGCUCGAAAGCAUGGGUAGCGAACAGGAUUAGAUACCCUGGUAGUCCAUGCCGUAAACGAUGAAUGCUAGGUGUUGGAGGGUUUCCGCCCUUCAGUGCCGCAGCUAACGCAUUAAGCAUUCCGCCUGGGGAGUACGACCGCAAGGUUGAAACUCAAAGGAAUUGACGGGGGCCCGCACAAGCGGUGGAGCAUGUGGUUUAAUUCGAAGCAACGCGAAGAACCUUACCAGGUCUUGACAUCUUUUUGAUCACCUGAGAGAUCAGGUUUCCCCUUCGGGGGCAAAAUGACAGGUGGUGCAUGGUUGUCGUCAGCUCGUGUCGUGAGAUGUUGGGUUAAGUCCCGCAACGAGCGCAACCCUUAUGACUAGUUGCCAGCAUUUAGUUGGGCACUCUAGUAAGACUGCCGGUGACAAACCGGAGGAAGGUGGGGAUGACGUCAAAUCAUCAUGCCCCUUAUGACCUGGCUACACACGUGCUACAAUGGAUGGU